rnacentral:rRNA from 1 species
GAUGAACGCUGGCGGCGUGCCUAAUACAUGCCAGUCGAGCGAACGGACGAGAAGCUUGCUUCUCUGACGUUAGCGGCGGACGGGUGAGUAACACGUGGAUAACCUACCUAUAAGACUGGGAUAACUUCGGGAAACCGGAGCUAAUACCGGAUAAUAUUUUGAACCGCAUGGUUCAAAAGUGAAAGACGGUCUUGCUGUCACUUAUAGAUGGAUCCGCGCUGCAUUAGCUAGUUGGUAAGGUAACGGCUUACCAAGGCAACGAUGCAUAGCCGACCUGAGAGGGUGAUCGGCCACACUGGAACUGAGACACGGUCCAGACUCCUACGGGAGGCAGCAGUAGGGAAUCUUCCGCAAUGGGCGAAAGCCUGACGGAGCAACGCCGCGUGAGUGAUGAAGGUCUUCGGAUCGUAAAACUCUGUUAUUAGGGAAGAACAUAUGUGUAAGUAACUGUGCACAUCUUGACGGUACCUAAUCAGAAAGCCACGGCUAACUACGUG